UUUGGGACAGGCAGUGGUGACAGCAUCAGUCUUUUAUCCAGCGCUAAUCACCCUGUACCGAUGUUUUGCCACACUAAUAAAUUCUGUAUCACUCUCUCAAGACUGUGAUCAGUGCUCAGUAUUAGAGCAGUUAUAAACAUGGCAUUUAUAUGGCUGGAGAAGUCUCUCUUGGUUUUUUUAUGAUUUCCUCUUGGUUUCUGCUACAGUGUUCAUAAUAUCAGAUAUGCUGUGGUACAAAGGAUGCUUUCUUAAACAUAAUUUUCUCAUCUGAAGAGAGGUAAUGACCCAUGUUUUAGUUCUGAAGAUGAUUUAUCACAUCUUAAAUAAGGAUUAGCAUUUUUGUGCUGUAUCCAAAGAGCAGCUUUUCCCCUGCAACCCCAAUAUUUCAAAAAAGAAUUGUGAAAAAUGGUAAUGACCUGAAACAUGACACUGCCUCAAGUGCAAAUCCAUGCCUGGUGACAGAUACAGUGCCACAGGUACUGUUUGAACAUGAUGAGAUUUGUGUCUUUAUCACUAAGGCACAGAAGCAAAAGUUUCCCACUCCUGCCUUCUCUGUCAGAGCACUCUGGCAUUGAUGGUGAUGUUCUCAUCACACAACUCAGCACAAAGGCUGGCUCCCUAUUUAAUUCCUCAAAUUUGUGUUCUCAAAGCUACUCUGCUGCUGCUCUGAACACUCAAUUCAUAUUGGCCUAUUAAACUUACUCUCUAGGAGUGGAAAAAAGGCAAGAAAUCUAAGACCAGUCUGGCACCUGAGAUUUUCAGUACUUUGUACUACCACUUAUGCCCAUAAUUCCCUCCCAGCCCUCUCUGGUACUCUUUUCUCUGAUUAUGUCAAACCUCUCUGCAUCCACGUAAGCUCUUACAGUUCAAGUUCUGUAAGUGUUUGAUCCCCUGUGCUAAACUGUGAGCUUGGUGCUUGUUGUUAGCUAUCUCUGCCUGAGUAGGAAUUAUCAAUUAAUGUAAUUUUUGUUACUUGAUUUUCAGAGGAAGUAAAACAAGACCAAAAAGGAGAAGUAUCCAAUAUGGGUAUUUGGUGAAGUUGAAGUAGAGCUCAAACAGCUUCAAGGUAAAACACAUGCAAAAAACACAUUCAAAAUACAUGUAAAAAUAGUAUGUGAUGAACAGAAAAAGGAGAACCAAGAUUUGAUACAAGCAGAGGUUUUGUUAAC